rnacentral:rRNA from 1 species
GAUGAACGCUAGCGGCAGGCUUAAUACAUGCAAGUCGAGGGACAGCACAGGUAGCAAUACUGGGUGGUAACCGGCAAACGGGUGCGGAACACGUACACAACCUUCCUUUAAGUGGGGGAUAGCCCAGAGAAAUUUGGAUUAAUACCCCGUAAUAUAGUUGAAUGGCAUCAUUUGAUUAUUAUAGCUACGGCGCUUAAUGAUGGGUGUGUGGCUGAUUAGAGAGUUGGCGGGGUAACGGCCCACCAAGUCUACGAUCAGUAGCUGAUGUGAGAGCAUGAACAGCCACACGGGCACUGAGACACGGGCCCGACUCCAACGGGAGGCAGCAGUAAGGAAUAUUGGUCAAUGGACGCAAGUCUGAACCAGCCAUGCCGCGUGAAGGAUUAAGGUCCUCUGGAUUGUAAACUUCUUUUAUUUGGGACGAAAAAGGGCCUUUCUAGGUCAACUGACGGUACCAGAUGAAUAAGCACCGGCUAACUCCGUGCCAGCCGCCGCCGUAAAAC